ACUGAACGUGGGCUGCACUGAGAGGUGUCCGUGCUGUUCCCUUUUCCUAGGGCUUUGUGCCAUGAUCGCGCUGGCCGUGUUCACAGGGGAAGUAGCUAAGGCCAUGAAUGUCCCGUCGGGCCAAGUCUCCUUCGGCUGGUCCUUCGGCCUCGGCUGGGCCUCCUUCCCCCUCUUCCUCAUCACUGGUGCAGUGAUGAUGUUCACCCAGAAACCCCCCUCGAGCUGAGCCUGGGGCCGCGCUGCCCGGGGGGGCCAGAUGCAGCCUGCCGUGUCACGGGGCCAAUUCCCUCAACAGCCCCGACAG
rnacentral:lncRNA from 1 species